rnacentral:rRNA from 1 species
GAAUUUUGGACAAUGGGGGCAACCCUGAUCCAGCCAUGCCGCGUGUGUGGAGAAGGCCUUUUGGUUGUAAAGCACUUUAAGCAGUGAAGAAGCCUCCAUGGUUAAUCCCCAUGGCUGAUGACAUUGGCUGCAGAAUAAGCACCGGCUACCCCGGUGCCAGCAGCCGCGGUAAUACAGAGGGUGCAAGCGUUAAUCGGAAUUACUGGGCGCAAAGCGAGCGUAGGUGGCUUGAUAAGCCAGAUGUGAAAUCCCCGGGCUUAACCUGGGAACUGCAUCUGAUACUGUUAGGCUAGAAUAGGUGAGAGGAAGGUAGAAUUCCAGGUGUAGCGGUGAAAUGCGUAGAGAUCUGGAGGAAUACCGAUGGCGAAGGCAGCCUUCUGGCAUCAUAUUGACACUGAGGUUCGAAAGCGUGGGUAGCAAAC